rnacentral:rRNA from 1 species
UUCCAUCGCGACCCCAGGUCAGGCGGGAUUACCC